rnacentral:misc_RNA from 1 species
GGUCUAUUACACAAACAACAUAGAGAUAUAUAUUGCAAUUGCAAAAGCCUUCCACAGAUAGGCAGGGAAGAAAUGGGCAACGCUCAGUCGCCUUCGGCGGAUCCUCGCUUCGCUUCUGCCACCAGGUUUCUUUCUCUUUACACACACACAUACUCGCAAUAAAGUGUAAUAUGCUUACAAUUGAGGAGUUUCGAUUUUAGUACAGAGCCUUUACUCCACACGAACUGGAUGACCUCAAAUUAUUCUUUGUUUCCCUUGCUGCUCAAUCUCAGAGCAAAGGUGACUACAUUUCCUCUUCUGUUUUUCAGGCAUAUUUUGGAUUGAAGGGGCCUUUAGGAGAGAGAUUGUUCGAUUUAGUUACCCAGAAGCGAAAAGAUAACAAACUCUCCUUCGAGGACCUCGUGAUAGCUAAAAGCGUUUAUGAGAAAGGAACAAAAGAUGAGAUUGAUGAGUUUGUUUAUCAAUUAUUGGAUAUAACAGAUGAUGGGAUUUUAGGAAGGUCUGAUCUAGAAUCUGUUCUAAUUGUGAUUUUGAAGAGUGUUUUUUCCCUGAAAGUUAAAGAAGAUGGAUCAAGCUCAUGUCAGGAUGUUGCCAACGUAUUUCUUAAUGCUGCAACUUUUUCAAAGGAUGUUCAAGGAGCUGCUGAAAAAAGUAUGUCUUUUGAGGAUUUCAGAGGUUGGUGUAGUCUUCUCCCAUCAGUCAGGAAGUUUCUUGGAAGCUUGUUGAUUCCACCAGAUGCAGGGAGGCCUGGUUCUCAAGUUCCUCACUUGGUGCAUGGGGAAAAUAUUGAUCCUAACAUGAUACUGUUAAGGAAGGAGUAUGCUUGGCAUAUAGGAGGAGCCCUUUCUCAACAAGAGCUGGAGGAAUGGAAACUUUUGUACCAUAGUGCUGUUAAUGGCCUAAGUUUCAACACAUUCUUGGGCAGUGUCUCGUGAGUAGUUUAUUUCUCUUAUACUUUUAUCUUAUCUAUGUGUAUCCAUCAGAUUGUUUAGUCAUUAGUCCUCCCAGAGAAAAAUAUGCUACUAUAUUUUGUCAGUUCUGUCCUGCUUCAUAUUGAAAGGUGGCCUUCUGAGCUUCAUUAACUGCUGUUUAGAAACAUGGAAAUAAAUAUCUUGGUGCUUCAAUGGUUAGGCUGUUUAGUAAAUGUUCCACAUGGUAGAACUUGUUCUCUUCAGAACAAAUUUAGAAGUCGACGAGGGAAACUUUGUGUCUAUUGGUUGGACUUUUGUCUUGAUGUAAAUUACUGGGUUUUCUCGAACGUGCCAAUGCCUGCUACAAUAAUCUAGUAUUAUAUUAGUUAUUAUCUAUGUACUAUGAUUGGAUGUCUGAAUUUGAUAUUUCAAUUUGCAAAUGGCAAAUACAUUUUUAUAUGUUUCUUCAUAUUAAUAUUUAUGGUCGUAAAUGCUUCCUUAUAUCUGUGAGACUGUGACUAAAUAAAUGGCAUGUGCUCAAUGCAAUUUAUACUGAAAACUUCUCAAGGCAAUGCCUUAGGGUGCAUACAUGAAACGAGAUUCAUAUUAGCCAUAGCAUUUUAAGAGGCUGUUUUUGGCAAAAAUAUCUGUUCAUAUUGUAUUUGGUGCAUGCAUUCAGUAUGUACACAUUCAUAAAACUACUGUAAUGUACAUUCAUUAGAGUUCCUUUUUAAGGUAAUGUACAUGGGUUUUCUCAUUCUAAGUUCCUUUCUUUCAAUAGAGAAAAUAGAAUAUAAAGGCUAUGCAUUUUCUAAUUUUAUUUCAGUUUCUUGGUUGGUGGAACUAUUUUUGAGAAGUGGAAUGGGUAAUUGUUCGAUUGAACUGCAGAAAUGGCGAAGGGCCAACAGUUUUGAUUGUUAAGGAUAAAGAAGACUGCAUAUAUGGAGGUUAUGCUUCUCAGCCUUGGGAAAGGCAUGGCGAUUUCUAUGGAGACAUGAAGUCUUCUCUCUUUCAGCUGUAUCCUAAAGCUUCAAUCUUCAAGCCCACUGGAGCAAACAACAAUAUACAAUGGUGUGCUGCGAAUUUUAGUUCAGAAAACAUCCCAAACGGCAUUGGUUUUGGUGGCCGAGUAAAUCACUUUGGUCUUUUCCUCUCAGCAAGCUUUGAUCUAGGACAUACCUUCACUUGCACCACAUUUGGUAGCCCUUCCCUUUCUAAGACCAGUCGUAUACUUCCAGAAGUUAUAGAAUGCUGGGGAAUUGUUCAAAAAGGAGUACAGCAAGAAAAGCAGGAUGCCCUGAAAGUUACAGUAUUGGAGAGAUUCAAGGAGGAUCGCCACAUGCUCAACAUGGUCGGGCUUGCAAAUUCGAGCGAAUAAUUCUAGUGAGCUUUCUAGCAUCACAGUAUGCAAUUCCACAAAAUGACUUACAGUAAUAGUUGAUCUAGUGCCCAUGUGCAUAAGACAUUGGAUUCUGAUAUGGUAUCUACAGUUAACUGGAGCUAUAUUCGACGGCUUAUGACCUGACAUUAUACGUGAUUGAAUUUAUUUUGGUUAACUGCCGUUGCAUUUGUGUCCUUAUGUGGUCUGCAACCAGGUAGUCUCGUACAAUCUGGAAAAAAAAAGCUGCAGUGUUCAACCAUCAAACUAGAUCUCAUUUGAGCAUCGCGUACCAAAACCUUGUUGGGCAGCAAAUGCAAAGACGAUUAACGUAAUAAAUGCUCUUCAAUGGGAAAACGUGACUUUCUUGGCCAACCUUCAUUGGCAAACGAGUC